ensembl:lncRNA
AGUGGCAGUCACACUCUAAUCAAAUACACACACAUCCCACCCGAUCCUGUUAACGGGGUCGGAGAAAAGUGAUUCCAACCCAAGUGAGGCGUGGGCAGCUGACAGCGCAGUGAUGUGUGUGGAUCCUGCGUAGGCUCUGACGCAGCCCCGGGACAAAGCCGGCCCUUUUGCCACCUUCAGCCUAGAGGAUCUGUGUCGUGGAGACCCAGAGGCUGGACCGCAAUGGGUAAUCCUCAAAUGUGAGCCUGGCUGUCUGUGUUCUGCCCAUCCCCCUCCUACAUACUCUCUAAAUGCUUCAGUUUUCACUUAGAGCCAUUCAAGAAGUGUCCAGCUGGGGAGGCCUGGAGCAGAGAUCAUUAUCCUCUUUAGCCCAAAGCUGGAGAUCUGGCCCCUGGUUGCAAUGCUCAGCCAAGAAGAAGGCAACAGGCUUCCUGGGAGCUGGGCCUGUUCCCAACCAUCCCUUUAGCUCAGGGAGGGGCCCCCAAGAAGAACACUGCAGUCCAAGCUCAACCUUUGGAAAGAGCCACAGCCUCCCUGUUUGGAAAGAUACUCCCCAAGCAAGUCCUGUCCAUGGCCUCCUUGAAAUUUACUUUGAGAAAGAUACCAAUGGGUGUUCCCACCUCAGGAUUGGAACUCAUAUGCUCCAAAAUACAGGGGAUAUAUGAUUCUGGAAGCUUCUUGGAAAUUCAAAACCUCAAGACCCAUCUAGAAGAGGCAGACAUCUGCAACUCUAGAUGAGUGAAGACAGUUUUCUCUCCAGGAUAAGAACAAGCAGCCUGGCCCAGAGAAUUCUUGCAGAGCCACUCAAGCCUGUGUUUCAGUAAGACGACAACCCAGAGAAAACCCAGCAGCAACAAGACUCCUUGGAGAGUGUUCUGUUGGGAUGGGAAUGAAUGAGAAGCAUCUUUUAGGGAAGAGGCAAUGAGGAUGACACUGCAUCUGUGUAGUGUUUUGAUGGUACUUACCAAUUUUAUAUUUAUAUUGUCUGCUUUUAUUUUUAAAACAGCUCUGUUAAUUCAGUAGACCAGGCACAUUUAAUCCCAUAUUACAGUGGGGAAAACUGAUAUUUAGAAGGUCCAGCUGAUUUUCCAGACUUGCAUUUAAUUACACGCAGACUUGAAAUUUUGUUUGCACCUAUAAUGCUUUUUAAUGGCCCAUCCAACCUCCCAGCUCCCAGCUGAACUUAGACUCAAUGGAAGAAGCUGAAAAUCAGUAGGAUGCCUGCCUUCAAUGACAGAAGCACAUAGAUUGUUGUGGUUCAAAUCUUCCUUCUUAUGAAAUGUCUCUUCCAGAUGUUUUCAUAAGAAGACUCAAAAAUUAUAUCCUGUAGAAGCUAAAUUUAAAAUCUCUUCCAACUUCCAAUAAUUUGUUUCAAAUAUGUGGCUGCUAUUUCUUAUGAAUUUGCCUUCUGAAAUAUAUAUGACAGAAUGUCACCUUAAGAAAAUAAUUUUCUCUAAAAAGUAUUUGAAAAGUUGUCUCCUAUAAUUUGAAACAAUUUGCUUCAUGAUUGACUUUUGGAAUGGAUGAGGGGCACUUUCUUCCUGAAAUGUUUCUUAAAAGUCAUACAUAUUUACUGACUUGUAAGCUUUGACUUGCACAUGAUGAAUUUAGCUUUGAUUGACUUGAUUGUUUGAUUGGUUUAUCAGCUGGGUAAUUUGCAAAGUGAGUUUAUAAUCACAUACUUUUAUUCAGCAAUAAUACCUCUCCUGAAGUCAGCUUCUUCACUCCUGUUUCUUUCCUUUCCUUUCUUUUUUCUUUUCUUUUCUUCUCUCUUUUGACAGCACCUGGGGCAUGCGGAAGGAAGUUCUCAGGCCAGGGAUCGAACCAACACCAUUGCAGUAAUCAGAGCCUAUGCAGUGACUAUUCCAGAUCCUUAAUCUGCUGAGCCACAAGAGAACUCCCACUCUUGUUUCUUAAGAGAUUUUUAAAGACAUUGGCAAUAAGACAAUCCUUUCUGUUGGAAAAAGAGGAGUAGCAGUGUACAUUUGGAAGGUUUAUGGGAUUUAGAUCUAAUUUUGAUGCCAAACUUACUAAAUCCAUUCAUUCAUUCAUUCAUCUGAAGAAGCAUCCUAUCUGAUAUGCCCAGCAUUGCUAUCUAGGCAUAGAUGACAAUGAAUAAAACUCAUGGGUCCUGCCCUUGAAGAAUUUACAAUCUAGCAAUUUUACUCACUGUGUGUCCUAGGCAAGUUACAAUUUGUCCCUGAGAUCCAUUUUAAACUGUAAAUUAUACAAUAAUGGAUACUAAAAUACUAAAACGGGAAAAUAUGUUUUCUUCUCAAGACUGUGGUAAAAAAUUAUUAAAAUAGCAUAAGGCACCU